CAGGAUUCCUUUAGUAAUGGCGAAUGAACAAGGAUAUGCUCAGUUUGGAAAAUCGGGGUCAGUGGCCUUGAAUUGUAGUCUGCAGAUGCUUUGCCAAUGUGGAUGCUGAUGCAAGCCUCUUGGAAAAGAGCAUGCGAGAGGGUGAGAGUCCUGUCUGGCAUCUGCCUUCCGCAUGUACGGCAAGCACUCUACGAGUCACGUUCCUUGGGCCUGGAGCGCAAACUGGGUGGUAAUUUCCAUCUUAAGCUAAAUAUAUGUUCAAGACCGAUAGAAAACAAGUACCAUGAGGGAAAGGUGAAAAGGACUUUGAAAAGAGUGUUAAAAGUGUCUGAAAUUGCUGAGGUGAAAGCGAAUGGAACUAAUGCUGUUGGGUGAGAUUGCUGUGCGCAUGUGCAUUUGCCUCCUACCGCAACGCAAGUGCUGUAGUAGAUUUUGUGCGCAUGUGUGCGGUGCUACUCCCUGCGCAUGUUGCUGUCAGUCUGCCGCUGUGAAAAAUGCCUGGUGCAUGGUGGGUUGCCUUUUGUGACUGAAUGCCCUUGGCUGAACACAGCUGCUUGCUGGUCUUCCUGCAUCUUGCUGCAAUGGUCUGCGGUGCAGUUGUAUACUGGGAGGGCUCAAUCCUCCUGCGGGCACUGCAUCUGCAGGUCAUAUUCGUGGUGCAACAACAGCAACAAAGUGGACCUAUUCGACCCGUCUUGAAA
rnacentral:rRNA from 1 species